AGAAUACAAGAAGAUAGUUAUUUUGUUUAAUAUGGAGUUUUUGAUAUAGAUAAUUACUGGUCAAAUGGAAUUCAGAAUGCCCCAACCCACAGGGGGUAUUCCCUAGGCAUCAAACAGAACUGGAACAGACAAGGGGAAUCUGAUUGUUUAAUUAAAACAAAGCAUUGCGAUGGUCCUUGCGGAUGUUGACGCAAUGUGAUUUCUACUCAGUGCUCUUAAUGUCAAAGUGGAGAAAUUCAACCAAGCGCGGGUAAACAGCGGGAGUAAUUAUGACUCUCUUAAGGUAGCCAAAUGCCUCGUCAUCUAAUUAGUGACAUGCAUGAAUGGAUUAAUGAGAUUCCCACUAUU
rnacentral:ncRNA from 1 species